rnacentral:rRNA from 1 species
AUUGAACGCUGGCGGCAGGCCUAACACAUGCAAGUCGAGCGAGCGGCGGACGGGUGAGUAAUGUCUGGGAAACUGCCUGAUGGAUGGGGAUAACUACUGGAAACGGUAGCUAAUACCGCAUACCAUCAGAUGUGUCCAGAUGUGAUUAGCUAGUAGGUGGGGUAACGGCUCACCUAGGCGACGAUCCCUAGCUGGUCUGUGAGGAUGACCAGCCACACUGGAACUGUGACACGGUCCAGACUCCUCAGGGAGGCAGCAGUGGGGAAUAUUGCACAAUGUGCGCAAGACUGAUGCAGCCAUGCCGCGUGUGUGAAGAAGGUCUUCGGAUUGUAAAGCACUUUAAGUUGGGAGGCGUGACCAACAGAAUAAGCACCGGCUAACUUCGUGCCAGCAGCCGCGGUAAUAC